rnacentral:rRNA from 1 species
UACGGGGGGAGCAAGCGUUGUUCGGAUUUACUGGGCGUAAAGAGCUCGUAGGCGGUUUGUCGCGUCGACUGUGAAAACCCGGGGCUCAACCCCGGGCCUGCAGCCGAUACGGGCAGACUAGAGUUCGGCAGGGGAGACUGGAAUUCCUGGUGUAGCGGUGAAAUGCGCAGAUAUCAGGAGGAACACCGGUGGCGAAGGCGGGUCUCUGGGCCGAUACUGACGCUGAGGAGCGAAAGCGUGGGGAGCGAACAGG